ACCUGGUGGCCACUUCUUGUCUGAGCCUUGAAUGCCUUCCUAAUAGGUGAGAAUUGACUUUGGAGUCCAGAGGUCUGGGUUCAAAUGGAGCUCUGCUACUUUCUCUCUGUGUGAUCCAGGUGAGUGAACAGGAGUUGUGGGCUGGCUCUGCAGCACAACUGAGCACCUCAAAUAUGCUCACAACCUGCCAAAUCCUUUCAUCAGGAAGAUGGGCUCCAACAUCUGCGCCACUGUUUUAAGGAGCAAAUCAGGCUGCUUCAAUCAUUGCUAGACCCAGAUUUCAUAUCUUGCUGCAGAAGUCUUCUCUUUUAACAAGUCGGUAUAGUCAAGAGAAACAGAUCCCAGUGAAUUGUCUGAGUCUGAGAAAGUUCCUGCAUUACCCCUCUGCCAAGAGAUGGGAGAUAACGCUUCCUGUGCUGACACAUCAGGAGGAAAUAUCAGCAGUCUUCUCUUCCUGAGGCCCAAGAAGCCUGACUGGAGUCUCCAUAAGGCCAGGUAAGGAACUUAGGGAAACUUCUCAGCCAAGACUGAAGAAGGCAUUGGAGGAACACCAAGGGAAGGGUAGCACUUCCCACACACUACUGAUUAUGCCCUUCUGUUGCUGCUAUGUGGUAUCUGGUGUCAAAAAUGAGGACCAUGUGGAGGUCAGCGCCAUUGAGGGUGAGAGUAUGAAGGACAAACUGGAGAGGCUAUCCUCCCCACACCCAGCCCCCCAGAAGAGAGAAAGAGGGAGGAUAGAAGGGUAGUGGCCACUUGAGAUACUUUCCUAUGAGGAGGAGACACAUGGCCAGAGGACAAGUUUCCAUGAGCAGGAAGAGUUGAGUGACAUGAAAGAAGAGGACCCUAUUGAUUCCAUAGUCUCUCAAUAAAAUAAUAAUAAUAAUAAAUAGUUUUA